UGGCUCAGAUGGCAAAGCAUCUGCCUGCAAUGCAGGAGACCCGGGUUCAAUCCCUGG
rnacentral:tRNA from 1 species